ensembl:lincRNA
CGUGGCACCUGGUGAGUGCUCCUUAAUCAGGGGUCAUCACUGUGUCAACCAGCGCUGCUGUGGACCACAGAUCAGACGGUGAGACCAAUGAGCAAUGCAGAGUGAAGGGAGAGCCGAGAAGGGGGAGGGGAGGGGCCUCGGCACCACACCUGCCCAGACGUUUCCCCCAGAGCCCCGGGGACGAUGCCAGGAAGGUCAGGAGAAGAGAAAAAAACUGAGUUGCUGCUCAGAGGAGUCGGAAGAAGCAGACCCAAAAGGCUGACAAACUCCAUGAGCAAUCGCAGUUCACACUUCAUGUCACCAAAUAACUCCCAGGAGAGAGCAGUGGCCCCUCGUUCAUGUGGGGUCCCCUAUUCCUACCACACGUGCUGCUGAACAGCCAGGGCCUUUCCUCUCGGAAGCUUCCAGUCGUAGCCACAGGCAAACUCACGAGUAUGAAAAAUACUAGGAGACACUCAAUGUCACUGUUCCAGGUACUGGGGUAUAGCCAUGAACAGAACACAGCCCUUCAGAGAGCAGAGCAGCAGCUGGGGCUGUGUGGGGAGACUGACUACAAAAGGCACAAGGGAGCUUUUCCGAGUGGAGAAAAUGGUCUGCAAUACAUCUUGAUCAACCCGGAUGUAUGCACUUGUCAAAACUCAAUGAAUUAUACACUUAAAACAGGUGCAUUAUAUUUUAUGGAAAUUAUACCUCACUAAAGUUCAUUGAAAGAACAGAGCCCCUGCCCUCCUGAACCUGUCACUCCAGGGGGAGGAGAGGGCAUUAAGCCAACAAAUCGGAACGGGGGAGCUGGGACAUGGUGAAGGGUAAAGCUUUGUGAGAAGAGUGAGGAUCCUGGUGAGAUGGGAAUGGUUUCAGAAACGCUUUGGCCCGUUGGUCUUCACAGGAGUACGAGUGCCUGGAGCAGGAAAACGCAGUGCUGCGGAGAGAGCUCGGGAAGCUGAGGGAGGAGCUGCGGCACCUGAGCGAGCGCUGAAAGAGCACGAGAAGAUGCACCCGCUGCUGCUCUGCCCCGUGAGCUUUGUGUCUGUGCCUCGGCCCGAGCCGGUGGCCGGGUGCCUGCCGCGGUGAGGCCCGAGGAUCCUCCUCCUCUGCAGAGCGAGGAGACUUGCUCUGUUCCACGCCGAGACCAGGGCCUCCCCUCGGCCACCAAGAGGACCCGGCGUUGGGCUCCCGCCUCCCAGCGCCUGGCCACGUGCCCCGCAGACGCACUUUGUGGGGAGGUCCCACAGAUGCUGGAGCCAGAGUCCUCGAGUGAAUUCAGGCAGGGACAUCACUCCUCAUCCACUUUGGCAGCUAGUAGGUUCCGCUGUUAUGCAGAAUCAUUUCCUCUAGAAUUUGGAU